rnacentral:rRNA from 1 species
AUGCACGCUGGCGGCGUGCCUAAUACAUGCAAGUCGAGCGAACAGACGAGGAGCUUGCUCCUCUGACGUUGCGGCGGACGGGUGAGUAACACGUGGAUAACCUACCUAUAAGACUGGGAUAACUUCGGGAAACCGGAGCUAAUACCGGAUAAUAUAUUGAACCGCAUGGUUCAAUAGUGAAAGACGGUUUUGCUGUCACUUAUAGAUGGAUCCGCGCCGCAUUAGCUAGUUGGUAAGGUAACGGCUUACCAAGGCAACGAUGCGUAGCCGACCUGAGAGGGUGAUCGGCCACACUGGAACUGAGACACGGUCCAGACUCCUACGGGAGGCAGCAGUAGGGAAUCUUCCGCAAUGGGCGAAAGCUUGACGGAGCAACGCCGCGUGAGUGAUGAAGGUCUUCGGAUCGUAAAACUCUGUUAUUAGGGAAGAACAAAUGUGUAAGUAACUAUGCACGUCUUGACGGUACCUAAUCAGAAAGCCACGGCUAACUACGUG